rnacentral:rRNA from 1 species
UACGUAGGGUGCGAGCGUUAAUCGGAAUUACUGGGCGUAAAGCGUGCGCAGGCGGUUUUGUAAGCCAGAUGUGAAAUCCCCGGGCUUAACCUGGGAAUGGCAUUUGGGACUGCAAGGCUUGAGUGCGGCAGAGGAGACUGGAAUUCCCGGUGUAGCAGUGAAAUGCGCAGAUAUCAGGAGGAACACCGGUGGCGAAGGCGGGUCUCUGGGCCGAUACUGACGCUGAGGAGCGAAAGCGUGGGGAGCAAACAGG